ACGGCCAGGACUACAGGGGUAUCUAAUCCCUUUCGCUCCCCUGGCUUUCGUCCAUGAGCGUCAGUAAUGGCCCAGCAGAGCGCCUUCGCCACUGGUGUUCUUCCCGAUAUCUACGCAUUUCACCGCUACACCGGGAAUUCCCUCUGCCCCUACCAUACUCAAGCCUUUCAGUUUCCACUGCCAUGAUGGAGUUAAGCUCCACGCUUUAACAGCAGACUUGAAAAGCCGCCUGCGGACGCUUUACGCCCAAUAAUUCCGGAUAACGCUUGCCACUCCCGUAUUACCGCGGCUGCUGGCACGGAAUUAGCCGUGGCUUAUUCCUCAAGUACCGUCAUAUCUUCUUCCUUGAGAAAAGAGGUUUACAGCCCAGAGGCCUUCGUCCCUCACGCGGCGUUGCUCCGUCAGGCUUUCGCCCAUUGCG
rnacentral:rRNA from 1 species